UACAGAGGGUGCAAGCGUUAAUCGGAGUUACUGGGCGUAAAGGGCGCGUAGGCGGUUAAUUAAGUGAGAUGUGAAAUCCCUGGGCUUAACCUGGGAACUGCAUCUUAUACUGGUUAGCUGGAGUACUGUAGAGGGUAGUGGAAUUUCCGGUGUAGCGGUGAAAUGCGUAGAGAUCGGAAGGAACACCAGUGGCGAAGGCGGCUACCUGGACAGAUACUGACGCUGAGGCGCGAGAGCGUGGGGAGCAAACAGG
rnacentral:rRNA from 1 species